GGGCCCGCACAAGCGGUGGAGGAUGUGGCUUAAUUCGAGGCUACGCGAAGAACCUUAUCCUGGUCUUGACAUGCUUGGGAACAUCCUGGAAACAGGGUGGUGCCUUUCGGGGAGCCCUUGCACAGGUGCUGCAUGGCUGUCGUCAGCUCGUGUCGUGAGAUGUCGGGUUAAGUCCCUUAACGAGCGAAACCCUUGUGUCUAGUUGCCAGCGGGUAAUGCCGGGGACUCUAGACAGACUGCCGGUGUUAAACCGGAGGAAGGUGGGGAUGACGUCAAGUCCUCAUGGCCUUUAUGACCAGGGCUGCACACGUCCUACAAUCCGUCGUACAAAGGGAAGCGAACUCGCGAGAGCAAGCAAAUCCCAAAAACGGCGGUCAGUUCGGAUUGCAGGCUGCAACUCGCCUGCAUGAAGCCGGAAUCGCUAGUAA
rnacentral:rRNA from 1 species